GACGAACGCUGGCGGCGUGCUUAACACAUGCAAGUGGAGCGACGAACCGGGGCUUGCCCCGGGGCAGAGCCGCGAACGGGUGAGUAACACGUGGGUAACCUGCCUCAAUGAUUGGGACAACCCGGGGAAACUCGGGCUAAUACCAAAUGUGUUCACUCCUUCUAUGGGGAGUGAGGAAAGGAAGCUUCGGCCUCCGCAUUGAGAUGGGCCCGCGGCCCAUUAGCUUGUUGGUGAGGUAACGGCUCACCAAGGCUUCGAUGGGUAGCUGGUCUGAGAGGACGAUCAGCCACACUGGGACUGAGACACGGCCCAGACUCCUACGGAGGCAGCAGUGGGGAAUCUUGCACAAUGCGCGAAAGCGUGAUGCAGCAACGCCGCGUGGGGGAAGACGG
rnacentral:rRNA from 1 species